GUUAAGUUAGAAAGAUCAGGGUUCAGUGAGCUAACUGACAAAUACAGAUUAAAAGAAUAAUUAAAAGGAUAAAAAGGUGAGAUUUACUUGCAUGUGCAUGUAAAUACAAGUCUUGAUUAAAGAGGAUGUGGGAGUGAAGUGGGUAGUUUCUAUGCUUUAAGAAAGCAUGAAAAAUGUGCUAUUGGUUGUAAAAGUAGUUCUUAAUUGUCUAAUUAAUAAAAACCCAGAGUUAGAUAUAGAGGAAAAUGCUGAGAGAUCAGAGAAGAAGAGCAAGCCACCCCCACACCUUACCUCCUUAGUGUCUCAGCCAACAAAAGAGCAAGUUCCUGUUUUCCACCUGCUUAUAUCCUGUUUCCACUCAGCUACCUUAUUUCCUGUCUUUCUGUACAGACCUCCAGACCUCUACUGUUAGCUAGUUGCAAGCUUCAUUCUCUGACCUUCAGAUGGGCUUUAUUUGUACAAGCAAGAUAUCACCUCAAUUGGUCUUUUUUUAUGCUAAUCUCAUGGACAAUCUUUCAUGGUGGCUGAUUUCACAGAGAAUUCUCUAAGAAUGGGGUUAAUGGUGGCAGUGUUUUUCAGAGGGUCUGCUGCAGUCGGAAAAGCAAGGUUCGGAUAAGAUUUUCUGCAUUUUUGUGGCUCUAUAUACUUUCACCUUAAAAUAAUUUUUAUAGCAAGUGUGAAGAUCUGAAUGGUUCUCCACAGAAGUAUGGUUUAGAUCUCAGAGAUCUGUAAACUCAAGGUUUUAAGGAAACGGCAUGAUUUAAUGACUCUCUAAAAAUGCAGAACAAAGUAGCUGGUGCCCACUAAAGGAGGCUGAAGUGAGGGAUCUCCUGAGACUGAGAUUUGGAGCCUGAGAUUUGGGAAGCUUUCAAAAGCUUUUAUCCAGAACAAUGAGUAUCACCACCAGAUCAGAAGAGAACAUACCAGAGAGAUGGUAGAGAAGGGCUUCACCAGAUGGUGCUGGCCUUGACUAUGAGGAAGAGUCAGGACACAGGCAAUGUGGGCAGUCUGGAGAAGCCAAGAAAUGCAAGAGAAUGUACAUGAAGCAGGGAAAGUGGGCAGUCAGUGGAAGCUGAGAAAGGAAAACGAAGAUACUCUACAUCCCACUGAAAACCUUGAUUUAUGAACAACAAGAUACAUUUUUAAAAUCACUGUUUGUGGUAACUUGUUAUAGCAACAAUAAAUUAAUAGAAAGCUAAUUGAACAUUUUUCUUA
rnacentral:lncRNA from 1 species